CGAAGUUAAUUUCUAUGACACUCAACAUGUUAUUGACCUCAAUUUGCACAGUUGCAGCUGUAGAAUGUGGGAUUUGUCAAGAAUCCCAUGUAAGCACAGCAUUUCUGCAAUAUAUGCUAACGAGGAGAAGCCAGAGGAUUAUGGGCAUAGUUAUUAUCUUAAGUAUACUUGCUUGACAGUUUACAAACAUGUUAGAUAUCCUGUGCCAAGUAAAGAGGAAUGGGAAAGAACAAAAUUGAAUGACAUAUAUCCUCCAAUUGUAAGGAAAACAGUACGAAAACCCAGAAAGAAGAGAAUUAGAUAGCCUGACGAAGUAAGAAACCCAUUCAGGGUUUCUAGGGCAAGGACUAAAAGGACUUGUGGUAAUUGUGGAAAAGAAGGACACAUUGUAAGGGGUUGCACUGCUACUGGAUAGGUGAAACACCUGGAUAAAGGAGAGUAAGGAAAAGUAAACAAGCUAAGGGUUUGCAUGGUUUUUCCAAUAGUCAGGGUGAAAGGCAAUAUAAGUAAGCUCCAAGCUCACAGCCAACUCCAAGAUCUGAGGCAUUUGAAAACUUUUCAAGAAAAAGAACCAAAGGGAACAUGAUGGGCAGUGCGUCACAGCCAAUACCCAGUGCAUUACCAAUCAGCUCCCAACAAGUUAGGCCUACAAGGGCCAAGAUGACAGCAAGAAAGAAGACACAGCCAUUCAAAAGUCCAAGACAAACUAAAGAUGGUCACCCUUCAACAAACUAAAGAAGAAUGAUUUGAACUUUUGUAUUUUGAGUAUUGCAUGUGGUGAUGGAUUUGUAAAUGGAAAUUCUUAUGUAUUUUGACAAGUGGAAGUGGUUAUGGUAUUUAGUCUCAGUUUUGUAACCGUGAAUGCAGGCAUCAUAUUGUAACUGCAAAAAUCUUCUAUUCAUAGCGAUGGUGUUAUUUUGUAUAGGGCUGUAGAUAUGUAUUCUCCAAGUUGAUCUCAUAUCAGGGGAUUUUUUGUCAUUUUGUAUAGGUCUAUGAUGUUAUUCCACACCAAUAUUAAUGAAAUAUGUCAUUAAAUGAAA